UGAGGAAUAUUGGGCAAUGCCCGCAAGGGUGACCCGGCAACGCCGCGUGGAGGAUGAAUGUCGUAAGAUUGUAAACUCCUGUUAGAGGGGAAGAAUAGUACCGGUUGGACCGGUAUAUGACUGUACCCUCAGAGAAAGCCCCGGCUAACUACGUGCCAGCAGCCGCGGUAAUACGUAGGGGGCAAGCGUUGUCCGGAUUUACUGGGUGUAAAGGGCGCGCAGGCGGGAUAAAAAGUCAGUGGUGAAAUCCUACAGCUUAACUGUAGAACUGCCUUUGAUACUUUUAUUCUUGAGUUCGGGAGAGAGAGACGGAAUUCCAGGUGUAGUGGUGAAAUACGUAGAUAUCUGGAAGAACACCAGUUGCGAAGGCGGUCUCUUGGUCCGACACUGACGCUGAGGCGCGAAAGCGUGGGGAGCAAACA
rnacentral:rRNA from 1 species